rnacentral:lncRNA from 1 species
AUGCAGUUGAAAGUUUUUAUAUUGUAUAUAUUGAAAAUAUAUAAAAAAUUGAAACUAAAAAUAAACACUUGAAGUAUUAAAAGAUUAAUCAUUGAAAAGGGGAAUUUAUUUUUUGAAUUUUACACUGGCUUUUAUGUGAAAAAAAAAAAAAAAAAAAAAAAAAAAAAAAAAACAUGCGAAUUAUAUCACAUGUAAUCAUAAACGUAAAAACAAAAAAAAAGUAAGCAUAUGUAUAUAUAUAUAUAUAUUUAUAUUUAAUUAUACUUGUGCUUAUACCAAUUUUUGGAAACAUCCUUAUAUGACAAAUAAUACAUUAACCUUUUUUUUGUAGUUUUAAUUUAUUUUUAAUGAAUUUUUUAUAAAAACAAAAAGAAAAAAAAAUGGAAGAGUUUAAUGAAUCAUUAGAAGGAUUACAGGCUAAAAUAAACGAGUAUGAAACACAACUAAGUUUAGUGCGCAAUGAGAUAAAAAAAUAUGAACAACAGGAAAACAAACAAUAUGAAUCAGAUGAACACAAUGAACAAAUAAAAAAUUUAAAAAAAUUAGAAUGUGAUAUGAUAGAAGUUAUAAAUUUAACUCGUGAUUUGAUAAGUUACAAAAAACAAAAUGAACUUGAUGAGGAAACAAACAACCAAGAGGAAAUAAGUCAAGCAGAUGGCUAUCCUUUAAAAUAUAUAAAAGAAAAUGUAAUAGAUGAAUCAGAAUUAAUAGUAGGAAGAACUUGUAGUUUUAUGUAUGAAAACAAAAAAGUGUGUGGGUUAAUAGAAAAAAUAACUUUAGAAAAUAGUAUUGAAAAUUUAUUAAUUUAUAUAUUUGAAACAAAACAAAAAAUUAUAAUACCUAAAAAUUAUAUCCAAUUAAAUGAUAUAUUAUAUGAAUAUAUGUUAGCACCAAAUCAACAAUACCAAGCUUUAUAUAAACAAGAUGGACAAUGGUAUGAUUGUAUCAUAUCGAAAAGUAAACCUGAUUCAUAUCUUAUUACUUAUACUGGUUAUAACACUAGUGAGUAUGUAAAAAAUGAUCAAAUACGAAUAAAAAAAAAAAAAAAUUAAAGAAAUUGUUACUCCAGCUGGAUAUAAAAUUCCAGAAAAUUUAAUAGUAAAAGAAACUGAUUCUUUAAAAGUUAAAAUGAAAAAAACAAAAAAAAGAAUAGCUUUAAAAAAAAAAACAAAAAAAUGAACUAUUAAAUGAAGAGUUUAAAAAUAAAACACAACAAUGGAGAUCUUUUCA